ensembl:lncRNA
GGUGUUGUUGUCACUGGCUCUCUUUCUCUCUCUUUCCCUCCGGCUCUGUUCCUGUGCUACUGCGAGUGUAACUACCGCCCCUCCCCCCUCUUCCCAGCGCAAAGCACAAGGCUUGUGUGUGGAGUGACGCAGGAAAAAAGUGCGAGAGAGAGGGUGAGAGGAAGAAAAAAACAAACACGGUUCGCGUCGUUCACGUCAAAGACACGGAUCUAAGAGCAAUUUUGUUCGCGACCAACACAUCACUAGUGGCCAGUCUAUCAGCAGAGAGCAUGUGAACGCUGGCGACUGUGUGAACAACUCGCAAUCAAUAUUUCUAGACCAAAUAAUGGAAAAACAAGUCCUUUGAAGAGCGUUUAAUCCAUAGCCAAGAAACAAGAGGCCAUUUUGCUUCUUGCCUUACAAAUUUACAUUUCAAGCACCUUGCUGCUAACAUAGUUACCUGCAUAUACCAAUUUGUCUACAGGAUGACAUGCCAUCUCCAGGACCUCACUGUUUUAACACUGUGGUGGAGUCGAGCAAGGGAUGGAUCGAGCAGUGGGUUCGGGGGACGGUACCUGCACAGCUGAGGUCCAUCACACAAACCACGCCUUCCCUAUUUCAGUAGCUGCUAGGUCCCAGAAGAGAUGUCUGAGGUUUGGAGAGGACAGCACUGAGCGGGAGCGCGCUGGAAAAUAUACAGCCUAAAACAAACUACCAUGUCUUAUGGUCCUUGUGUCACAAACACAUUUAACAGGUCUCACUCAGGUUCAUCCCCUCAGUUGGCAGCAGAGCAGUAAAUUAAAGUUAAUCCAGGCACACCUGGUUCAUUUUUUAUCUUCAUGCCUGUGUGUAAUCAGAUGUGAAAAAAAAUAUUGACAGCAGUGAGCAUGCUCA